rnacentral:rRNA from 1 species
GCGUUGUCCGGAAUUACUGGGCGUCAAGAGCGCGUAGGCGGCACUGUACGACAUGUGUGAAAGCCCCCAGCUCAACUGGGGAGGGUCAUGUGUAACGGCAGAGCUGAUGAGUGCAGGAGAGGGAAGUGGAACUCCGGGAGUAGCGGUGAAGUGCGUAGAUACCCGGAGGAAUACCAGUGGCGAAGGCGGCUUCCUGGUCUGCAACUGACGCUGUGGCGCGAAAGCU